rnacentral:rRNA from 1 species
GCUUUUUCUCCGGCCGAAGAGCAGUGUUCCGAAGCAGUUCCGGUACUGUGGAGGUACCGGUAACUAGAGGCUUCCCGCAGGGAUCAAUCAGUGGCCCAUUUAUCUGGGACAUACUGAUGGAUGUACUGCUUCAGCGUCUCCAGCCGUAUUGCCAGCUGAGUGCAUACGCGGAUGACUUGCUGCUUCUCGUCGAGGGAAAUUCCCGAGCUGUGCUAGAGGAAAAAGGAGCGCAACUAAUGUCCAUCGUAGAAACGUGGGGAGCGGAAGUUGGCGUUGCCGUCUCGACCAGCAAGACGGUAAUCAUGCUGCUGAAAGGUGCCUUGAGACGUGCGCCUACGGUGAGGUUUGCUGGAGCGAACCUUCCGUAUGUGCGUAGCUGUCGGUACCUUGGCAUCACGGUCAGUGAAGGAAUGAAAUUCCUCACGCACAUAGCUUCGCUUCGCCAGCGGAUGACAGGAGUCGUUGGAGCAUUGGCGCGUGUGCUUCGAGCCGACUGGGGCUUCAGUCCUCGAGCCAGGCGGACCAUAUAUGACGGACUCAUGGCACCUUGUGUGCUGUUUGGUGCCCCGGUAUGGUAUGACACCGCGGAACAAGUAGCUGCCCAGAGGCGACUAGCCUCCUGCCAGAGGCUAAUCCUGCUUGGAUGCCUUUCGGUAUGCCGAACAGUGUCCACAGUGGCACUGCAGGUACUUGGUGGAGCUCCCCCGCUUGAUCUGGCUGCUAAGUUAUUAGCGAUUAAAUACAAGCUAAAACGUGGAUUCCCGCUGGAGGAGAACGACUGCUUUACGGCGAGGACAUUGCGUGUCUUAGCUGGGAGCAGAGGAAGACUCGCCUAGAGGAGUGUUUAAUCCAGAGUUGGCAGAACAGAUGGGACGAUGACAGCGAACCAGGACGGGUGACGCAUAGGUUUAUCCCAUACGUCACUCUUGCCUAUCGGGAUCCAAGUUUUGGAUUCUCGAUGAGGACGUCUUUCCUGCUUACAGGGCACGGGUCGUUCAAUGCAUUUUUGCACGGGAGAGCCCUCAGCGAUACCACUGCUUGCGCAUGUGGAGAUCCAUAUGAGGACUGGAUGCAUAUCUUGUGCGCUUGCCCCCUAUAUGCAGAUCUGCGGGACCUAGAUGGACUUGGAGUGCAGCGCCUUGGCGAAAACUGGAUCUUCGAGGGAAUCCUGGAUGAUCAAGAGAAGACUCAACGGCUGGCAAUGUUUGCGGAAGAAGUGUUCCUGAGGAGGAGGGGCGUUUAGCUCAACAUCUCUGCCGUGUGGUUAGCGGGCGAGAAUACUACCACAGUCCGCUGUUGCUUGUCGUAAGAGACGACUAAUACAGCGAUAGGAUUCCUCUAACCCUGCUUGUCGGAGCAAAAGGGGGAGGCCCACCGAGCCUCUUUUCGGUACCACGGGUUGAGCAGCUAUCCAAGACUGCUCAUUGAGGUAGGCCCCCUGGUGGGAGUAUCGUGGUGGCUGUGGUUGGUACCCAUAUCGCGGGUAGAGCCUUCAUGCUCGACGUUUGAGUUACGGUGCUAGUUGCGCAAAACUCGGGUGCUGAGACCCAGAGAUCAGUAGAGAUUUUAGGUAGAUCUCGCUCCUCAGCAAGGGGGAGUGCUUGCCCGGCAAGCAAGUACUCGAAUUGCUACCGGGGUGGUCGCUAUGUACAUAGCUAUAGCUUCUAGUCCGGGACGCUUGUCUGGCGUAUCCAGACACAUGCACCAUAUGCUCACUUGUGGGUGUAUAGGGUGCCGUGGUUGUAAUCCCUUCAGUGUGGAACACGCCACGUAAAAUAAGUUCGGAGGGAUCCGAAAAGCAUACAUUGUCCCUAUCUACUAUCUAGCGAAACCACAGCCAAGGGAACGGGCUUGGAAUAAUUAGCGGGGAAAGAAGACCCUUUUGAGCUUGACUCUAAUCUGGCAGUGUAAGGAGACAUAAGAGGUGUAGAAUAAGUGGGAGAUAUUAGACCUCGGUUUGGUAUCGUCAAUGAAAUACCACUACUCUUAUUGUUUCCUUACUUACUUGAUUAAAUGGAACGUGUAUCAUUUCCUAGCCAUUAUACGGAUAUAUUUAUUAUAUCUUAUGGUAUUGGGUUUUGAUGCAAGCUUCUUGAUCAAAGUAUCACGAGUUUGUUAUAUAAUCGCAAACAAAUUCUUUAAUAAAACGAUGCAUUUAUGUAUUUUUGAUUUGAAAAUUUGGUAUAACUCCAAUUACUCAGGUAUGAUCCGAUUCAAGGACAUUGCCAGGUAGGGAGUUUGACUGGGGCGGUACAUCUCUCAAAUAAUAACGGAGGUGUCCCAAGGCCAGCUCAGUGCGGACAGAAACCACACAUAGAGCAAAAGGGCAAAUGCUGACUUGAUCUCGGUGUUCAGUACACACAGGGACAGCAAAAGCUCGGCCUAUCGAUCCUUUUGGUUUAAAGAGUUUUUAACAAGAGGUGUCAGAAAAGUUACCAUAGGGAUAACUGGCUUGUGGCGGCCAAGCGUUCAUAGCGACGUCGCUUUUUGAUCCUUCGAUGUCGGCUCUUCCUAUCAUUGUGAAGCAAAAUUCACCAAGCGUUGGAUUGUUCACCCAUGCAAGGGAACGUGAGCUGGGUUUAGACCGUCGUGAGACAGGUUAGUUUUACCCUACUAAUGACAAAACGUUGUUGCGACAGCAUUCCUGCGUAGUACGAGAGGAACCGCAGGUACGGACCAAUGGCACAAUACUUGUUCGAGCGAACAGUGGUAUGACGCUACGUCCGUUGGAUUAUGCCUGAACGCCUCUAAGGUCGUAUCCGUGCUGGACUGCAAUGAUAAAUAAGGGCAUUUGCAUUGUAUGGCUUCUAAACCAUUUAAAGUUUAUAAUUUACUUUAUAAACGACAAUGGAUGUGAUGCCAAUGUAAUUUGUAACAUAGUAAAUUGGGAGGAUCUUCGAUCACCUGAUGCCGCGCUAGUUACAUAUAAAAGCAUUAUUU